GCGCGCGAUACAGGGUGACAGCCCCGUACACAAAAAUGCACAUAUUGUGAGCUCGAUGAGUAGGGCGGGACACGUGGUAUCCUGUCUGAAUAUGGGGGGACCAUCCUCCAAGGCUAAAUACUCCUGACUGACCGAUAGUGAACCAGUACCGUGAGGGAAAGGCGAAAAGAACCCCGGCGAGGGGAGUGAAAAAGAACCUGAAACCGUGUACGUACAAGCAGUGGGAGCCUCUUAAUGGGGUGACUGCGUACCUUUUGUAUAAUGGGUCAGCGACUUAUAUUCUGUAGCAAGGUUAACCGAAUAGGGGAGCCGAAGGGAAACCGAGUCUUAACUGGGCGUUAAGUUGCAGGGUAUAGACCCGAAACCCGGUGAUCUAGCCAUGGGCAGGUUGAAGGUUGGGUAACACUAACUGGAGGACCGAACCGACUAAUGUUGAAAAAUUAGCGGAUGACUUGUGGCUGGGGGUGAAAGGCCAAUCAAACCGGGAGAUAGCUGGUUCUCCCCGAAAGCUAUUUAGGUAGCGCCUCGUGAAUUCAUCUCCGGGGGUAGAGCACUGUUUCGGCAAGGGGGUCAUCCCGACUUACCAACCCGAUGCAAACUGCGAAUACCGGAGAAUGUUAUCACGGGAGACACACGGCGGGUGCUAACGUCCGUCGUGAAGAGGGAAACAACCCAGACCGCCAGCUAAGGUCCCAAAGUCAUGGUUAAGUGGGAAACGAUGUGGGAAGGCCCAGACAGCCAGGAUGUUGGCUUAGAAGCAGCCAUCAUUUAAAGAAAGCGUAAUAGCUCACUGGUCGAGUCGGCCUGCGCGGAAGAUGUAACGGGGCUAAACCAUGCACCGAAGCUGCGGCAGCGACACUAUGUGUUGUUGGGUAGGGGAGCGUUCUGUAAGCCUGUGAAGGUGGCCUGUGAGGGUUGCUGGAGGUAUCAGAAGUGCGAAUGCUGACAUAAGUAACGAUAAAGCGGGUGAAAAGCCCGCUCGCCGGAAGACCAAGGGUUCCUGUCCAACGUUAAUCGGGGCAGGGUGAGUCGACCCCUAAGGCGAGGCCGAAAGGCGUAGUCGAUGGGAAACAGGUUAAUAUUCCUGUACUUGGUGUUACUGCGAAGGGGGGACGGAGAAGGCUAUGUUGGCCGGGCGACGGUUGUCCCGGUUUAAGCGUGUAGGCUGGUUUUCCAGGCAAAUCCGGAAAACCAAGGCUGAGGCGUGAUGACGAGGCACUACGGUGCUGAAGCGACAAAUGCCCUGCUUCCAGGAAAAGCCUCUAAGCAUCAGGUAACAUCAAAUCGUACCCCAAACCGACACAGGUGGUCAGGUAGAGAAUACCAAGGCGCUUGAGAGAACUCGGGUGAAGGAACUAGGCAAAAUGGUGCCGUAACUUCGGGAGAAGGCACGCUGAUAUGUAGGUGAAGCGACUUGCUCGUGGAGCUGAAAUCAGUCGAAGAUACCAGCUGGCUGCAACUGUUUAUUAAAAACACAGCACUGUGCAAACACGAAAGUGGACGUAUACGGUGUGACGCCUGCCCGGUGCCGGAAGGUUAAUUGAUGGGGUUAGCGGCAACGCGAAGCUCUUGAUCGAAGCCCCGGUAAACGGCGGCCGUAACUAUAACGGUCCUAAGGUAGCGAAAUUCCUUGUCGGGUAAGUUCCGACCUGCACGAAUGGCGUAAUGAUGGCCAGGCUGUCUCCACCCGAGACUCAGUGAAAUUGAACUC
rnacentral:rRNA from 1 species